AGCUUUGCGCAGUGACAUUACCGUAGCUGAUGAGGUCCAUCCGAGGCGCGGUUAUUGCUGAUUGAAAACUUUUCCCAAUACCCGCGAGACGACUUGAAACAUAGUCGGCUUUGCAAUUUUUGUGGGGCCUGCUUAGGG
rnacentral:snRNA from 2 species